UACGUAGGGCGCAAGCGUUUGUCCGGAAUUAUUGGGCGUAAAGAGCUCGUAGGCGGUCUGUCGCGUCGGAUGUGAAAGCCCGGGGCUUAACCCCGGGUCUGCAUUCGAUACGGGCAGACUAGAGUGUGGUAGGGGAGAUCGGAAUUCCUGGUGUAGCGGUGAAAUGCGCAGAUAUCAGGAGGAACACCGGUGGCGAAGGCGGGACUCUGGGCCGAUACUGACGCUGAGGCGCGAAAGCCAGGGGAGCAAACGGG
rnacentral:rRNA from 1 species